rnacentral:tRNA from 1 species
GGGUAUAGUUCAGCUGGUAGAGCAGCGGUCUCCAAAACCGUUUGUCGUGGGUUCAAAUCCUACUGCCC